AUUGAACGCUGGCGGCAUGCCUUACACAUGCCAGUCGAACGGUAACGGGCCUUCGGGUGCCGACGAGUGGCGCACGGGUGAGUAAUACAUCGGAACGUGCCCGAUCGUGGGGGAUAACGAGGCGAAAGCUUUGCUAAUACCGCAUACGAUCUACGGAUGAAAGCAGGGGACCGCAAGGCCUUGCGCGGACGGAGCGGCCGAUGGCAGAUUAGGUAGUUGGUGGGAUAAAAGCUUACCAAGCCGACGAUCUGUAGCUGGUCUGAGAGGAUGAUCAGCCACACUGGGACUGAGACACGGCCCAGACUCCUACGGGAGGCAGCAGUGGGGAAUUUUGGACAAUGGGCGCAAGCCUGAUCCAGCCAUGCCGCGUGCAGGAUGAGGGCCUUCGGGUUGUAAACUGCUUUUGUACGGAACGAAAAGCCUUCUUUUAAUACAGGAGGGUCAUGACGGUACCGUAAGAAUAAGCACCGGCUAACUACGUG
rnacentral:rRNA from 1 species